rnacentral:rRNA from 1 species
GAUGAACGCUGGCGGCGUGCCUAAUACAUGCAAGUCGAGCGAACAGACGAGGAGCUUGCUCCUCUGACGUUAGCGGCGGACGGGUGAGUAACACGUGGAUAACCUACCUAUAAGACUGGGAUAACUUCGGGAAACCGGAGCUAAUACCGGAUAAUAUAUUGAACCGCAUGGUUCAAUAGUGAAAGACGGUUUUGCUGUCACUUAUAGAUGGAUCCGCGCCGCAUUAGCUAGUUGGUAAGGUAACGGCUUACCAAGGCAACGAUGCGUAGCCGACCUGAGAGGGUGAUCGCCCACCCUGGAACUGAGACACGGUCCAGACUCCUGCGGGAGGCAGCAGUAGGGAAUCUUCCGCAAUGGGCGAAAGCUUGACGGAGCAACGCCGCGUGAGUGAUGAAGGUCUUCGGAUCGUAAAACUCUGUUAUUAGGGAAGAACAAAUGUGUAAGUAACUAUGCACGUCUUGACGGUACCUAAUCAGAAAGCCACGGCUAACUACGUG